CCAUGGGCAGGGACACCUUCCACUAUCCCCGGUUGCUCCAAGUUCCAUCCAACCUGGCCUGGAACACUUCCAGGGAUGGGGCAGCCUCAGCUUCCCUGAGCAGUGUGCUCUAAUAUCUCUCCACUGUCAUCAUGAAAAAUUUUGUCAGCAUGUUUUGUUCGACAAUGGGGAAGACUGAAGCAAGUGGUGCCAGAAAGAACUGGAGUUUCUGGAGAAUAAAAGCUGGAAGUGUGCCCCCGAAAAUUCCC